rnacentral:lncRNA from 1 species
GGGAUAGCAGUUCAUCCUUGUGGGUUGUGAAACAAGGCGGCUGGCGUACGUAUGGGCUCUGCUAGAAUAAUGUCCCCUGCCACCAGCCGGCCUGUUGGGCGCUGGAGGGUCAACAGUGAGUGCCUGCCCCACCCCUGCUGUGUAGCUGAUGCAAACCCAGUGGGACAUAGUGCAGUGUCUCCUAAGCCUGCGAUAGAAGUGCCACCCAGCUAGUAGCAUCCAGUGCCUUGCUUAACUGUUCUUCAGCUCAUUCAGCUAAUACGGGCCUGCUGUGUUCUGGGUACUAAAAGAGCAGGGAGAAAAGGCUAGGGAAAGGGACUGACGGUUGGCAGUCGUGUGGCAGAGGUCCUGAACGUUUUAAUUUGAGCCAUAAAGUAAAUGUGACCUUGUAAGUUGUGGGUAGUAAGACCAAGGUGGCUCAGCGUCUUUAGAGAGGUGGAUAUUGGUGUAUUUACUUAUAUGCGUUUAUUAAAUAAUAAGGUGUCCAUCCCAUGGCUGGGCCUUUUUUCUCUUUAAAAGAGAGGUUACAGGUGCCUGGGUGGCUCAGUGGUUGAGUGUCUGUCUUCGGCUCAGGUUGUGAACCUGGGGUCCUGGGAUGGAGUCCCACAUCGGGCUCCCCACAGGGAGCCUGCUUCUCCCUCUGCCUGUGUCUCUGCCUCUCUUUGUGUCCCUCAUGAAUAAAUACAUAAAAUCUUUAAAAGCCAAUACAUACAUACAUAAAAGAGAUUAUGGCACUUGGGUCUGGCAUCUGCCUUGGGCUCAGGCUGUGAUCCUUGAGCCCCGGGAUCCAGCCUCGCAGCAGGCGUCCCACUCCGCAGGGAGUCUGCUCCUCCCCCUGCCCCUCCCCCUCUCCGCGCUGUCUCUCAAUCUUUAAAAAAAUAAGAGAGGUUACCAUUUAAAAGUUGUCCAUAAAGACUCUUAAGAACCUGGUCAUACAGAACAUGGAAGACUCCUAACUCUGGGAAACGAACUAGCGGUGGUGGAAGGGGAAGUGGGCGGGGGGUGGGGGUGUCUGGGUGAUGGGCACUGAGGGGGGCACUUGACAGGAUGAGCACUGGGCGUUAUUCUGUAUGUUGACAAAUUGAACACCAAUAAAAAAUAAA